GCUCCGUUGGUCUAGUGGUUAUGAUGCGACCCUCCCAUCGCAUAUGCGAGCCCUCAAGGGGCUGGGCAAGGUCGCGACCCGAGUUCGAAUCCCGGACGGAGCA